AACGAACGCUGGCGGCAGGCUUAACACAUGCAAGUCGAACGCACCUUUCGGGGUGAGUGGCAGACGGGUGAGUAACGCGUGGGAAUAUACCCUUCUCUACGGGAUAGCUCCGGGAAACUGGAAUUAAUACCGUAUACGUCCUGAGGGAGAAAGAUUUAUCGGGGAAGGAUGAGCCCGCGUUGGAUUAGCUAGUUGGUGGGGUAAAGGCCUACCGAGGCGACGAUCCAUAGCUGGUCUAAGAGGAUGAUCAGCCACAUUGGGACUGGGACACGGCCCAAACUCCUACGGGAGGCAGCAGUGGGGAAUAUUGGACGAUGGGCGCAAGCCUGAUCCAGCCAUGCCGCGUGAGUGAUGAAGGCCCUAGGGUUGUAAAGCUCUUUCAGUGGGGACGAUAAGGACGGUACCCACAGAAGAAGCCCCGGCUAACUUCGU
rnacentral:rRNA from 1 species